GGUAUGGGAUGAGCUUGCGUCCGAUUAGCUAGUUGGCGGGGCAACGGCCCACCAAGGCGACGAUCGGUAGCCGGCCUGAGAGGGUGAUCGGCCACAUUGGGACUGAAAUACGGCCCAGACUCCUACGGGAGGCAGCAGUAGGGAAUAUUGCACAAUGGGGGAAACCCUGAUGCAGCAACGCCACGUGUGGGAAGAAGCAUUUCGGUGUGUAAACCACUGUCGUGAGGGAAUAAGGCGUCUUCUCGGAGGCGUUGAAUGUACCUCGAAAGGAAGCACCGGCAAACUUCGUGCCAGCAGCCGCGGUAAUACGAGGGGUGCAAGCGUUGUUCGGAAUCACUGGGCGUAAAGGGAGCGUAGGCGGAGAUGCAAGCGGACUGUACAAUACCGGGGCCCAACCCCGGGCCUGCAGUUCGGACUGCACCUCUUGGAUAGUUCAGGGGCAGGC
rnacentral:rRNA from 1 species